CGGGCGUAGCAAUACGUCAGAGGCGUACGGGUGAGUAACACGUAGGUAACCACCUUAAGACUGGGAUACCCAGACGAAAGUUUGGCUAAUACCGGAUAACAACAUUUGAGACAUCUCUUUGUUGAAAGGCGCUGCAAGGCGCCACUUUUAGAUGGACCUGCGUCGCAUUAGCUAGUUGGUGAGAUAAAAGCCCACCAAGGCUGGGAUGCGUAGCCGAUCUGAGAGGAUGACCGGCCACAAUGGGACUGAGACACGGCCCAUACUCCUACGGGAGGCAGCAGUAGGGAGUUUUCGGCAAUGGGGGAAACCCUGACCGAGCAACACCGCGUGAGUGAUUGAAGGUCUUCGGAUCGUAAAGCUCUGUUACGAGGGACGAAUGAUCGCUUUAGGAAAUGAGAGCGGUUUGACGGUACCUCGCCAGAAAGUGACGGCUAACUACGUGCCAGCCGCUGC
rnacentral:rRNA from 1 species